rnacentral:rRNA from 1 species
CCUACGGGGGGCUGCAGUAGGGAAUCUUCCACAAUGGGCGAAAGCCUGAUGGAGCAACGCCGCGUGUGUGAUGAAGGCUUUCGGGUCGUAAAGCACUGUUGUAUGGGAAGAACGGUAAGGGUAGGAAAUGAUCUCUACAUGACGGUACCAUACCAGAAAGGGACGGCUAAAUACGUGCCAGCAGCCGCGGUAAUACGUAUGUCCCGAGCGUUAUCCGGAUUUAUUGGGCGUAAAGCGAGCGCAGACGGUUCGAUAAGUCU